rnacentral:rRNA from 1 species
AUUGAACGCUGGCGGCAUGCUUUACACAUGCAAGUCGAACGGCAGCACGGGUGCUUGCACCUGGUGGCGAGUGGCGGACGGGUGAGUAAUGCAUCGGAACGUGUCCUGAAGUGGGGGAUAACGCAUCGAAAGAUGUGCUAAUACCGCAUAUUCUCUGAGGAGGAAAGUAGGGGAUCGAAAGACCUUAUGCUUUUGGAGCGGCCGAUGUCUGAUUAGCUAGUUGGUAGGGUAAUGGCUUACCAAGGCGACGAUCAGUAGUUGGUCUGAGAGGACGACCAGCCACACUGGGACUGAGACACGGCCCAGACUCCUACGGGAGGCAGCAGGUGGGGUAAUUUUGGAACAAGUGGGCGCAAGCCUGAUCCAGCAAUGCCGCGUGAGUGAAGAAGGCCUGGUUGUAAGACUCUUUCUAGUUGAGAAGAAAAGUACGUAGACUAAUAAUACAU